rnacentral:rRNA from 1 species
GUACACACCGCCCGUCGCUGCUACCGAUUGGAUGAUCCGGUGAAAUCCUCGGAUUGGUGUAAUUAUCUAGCAGCAAUGUUAGAUAUUAUAUUGAGAAGUUGAUUAAACCUUAUCAUCUAGAGGAAGCAAAAGUCGUAACAAGGUUUCCGUAGGUGAACCUGCAGAAGG